CGGUGUAUUUCCCUAGCUGCGCAAGAGAGUUGGCUUUUGCUCUAACAAGCAAGGCAUCCUGAGCUGCCUUCACAUUUUCUGGUCUUCCACUCCAAGUCUUGAGGCAUGUGUUCUGAAGGGCUCUGGCAUAUGAGAACGACACGUGCCAUGGGUUGGGACUUUGGUUCAUGGCGUUCAAGUUAAGAGUUGCCUCAACUUCAGAUUGUCCGCCAGACAAAAACUGUUUAUUAUAAAUUAUGAAAAAGGUUAUCGAUCAAGUUCUUGGAAGUAAGGAAAAAAAAUUGAUAUAGCGGAAAUCUAGAUACUUGCCAUGAUCCCUGGGACAGCAGGAGGGAUUCUUUGGCGGAGGAGAUUGAGGGUGUAGUCAGCAACUUGCUGUGGGGUGGCCUUCUCCUUGCACUCAGCUCCAGGGGUGACCAUGCUGGGCUUCAACAAGAUACCUUCAAACAUGACAUUGUUCUGGGAAAGGUAGAAGAAAACUUCAGCCCACACCUGCUUGGCGACUU
rnacentral:lncRNA from 1 species